UUUAGUUAUGUUCAUUAUGCUUAAUUGGGCAUUACUAUUGUUGUUAUAAUAUAUAUUUGUGAUUACAAAUUAGGAGAAGCAAAAAAGGCAAUGUAUCACUAUAAGCAAGCUAGUGCUGAAUCAGACCCUGAUGUCUUGACUAAAGCUAAAAAUCUUCAGGUUCAUCUGAGUAAGUGUACUGAGGCCAAGAUACAACGAGAUUGAAACACACUAUUGAAAGAAACCAGGCUCGCCAUAUCAGCUGGUGCUGAUUCUGCCCCACAACGGCUCAAAGAGCAGCACGGCUGGACUCAAGCAGCAAGGAAGUGAACAUGGUGGUUAGGAGGACACGGGCGGUGGCAAUGGCUCGAUCCAACGAGCCACUUGCAGGUCCAAACUUGGUCAAUUUGAGAGAGCAAUCAAGGACUGGACUGCUGCCCUUAAUGUGCGCCCAUCUUACAGGAAAGCCAGAUUAAGAAGAGUCAAUUGCUAUGCCAAGGUUAUGGCAAGCAACACAAAGAUCUACAUUGUGCUCGAGUAUGUUGGCGAGGGCGAGCUUUUUGACAAAAUAGCCAAACUAGGAAGACUUAAAGAGGAUGAAGCUAGGAGAUAUUUUCAGCAGCUCAUCAAUGCUGUAGACUAUUGCCACAAUAGAGGCAUGUACCAUAGAGACUAA